CAUUCAUGAAAAAUAAAGCAAUAGAUAAUCCUACACCAACAUACACCACAGAAGGACAACACAACACAACCAAAAAAAUAACAGGAAUUAACAAUCACUGGUCAUUAAUAUCCAUCAAUAUCAAUGGUCUCAACUCACCUAUAAAAAGACACAGGC